UUCUGAGAAUCAAACAUUGAUUUGAGUUGUUUUUCUGUGGAACAAACUGAAACUACAACGACUGUGAGACUGCAAAUAAAGAACGUGAAGCAAAACGAGUAUAUAAGGACU
rnacentral:lncRNA from 1 species